rnacentral:misc_RNA from 1 species
UCCUCCUUACAGAGGCAGUUUGUUCUGAGUCCCCGGCAUUAUCCGCUGGUAACAGAACAUGAGGGUUGCGCUCGUUGCGGGACUUAACCCAACAUUUCACAACACGAGCUGACGACAGCCAUGCACCACCUGUGCCUCACCCUAUUAUGGCGACCGGCUUUCACCGGCUUGCAGAGGCAUGUCAAGCCCUGGUAAGGUUCUUCGCGUUGCAUCGAAUUAAGCCACAUGCUCCACCGCUUGUGCGGGCCCCCGCCAAUUCCUUUGAGUUUCAACCUUGCGGCCGUAGUCCCCAGGCGGUUCACUUAAUGCGUUAGCUGCGGCACCGAGGGAAACCCCCGACACCUAGUGAACAUAGUUUAGGGCCAAGACUAC